GGCAGUUGCAGAGAGAGCAGAGCUUCUAGGAGUAAUAGCAACUCCCCCGUUGCUCCUAGGGGCUCAUUUGCAUAUAUUAAAACUUGAUAAGUACAAAGCUGCUGACAGAUGCCCUUUAACUGGAAGACUAAGAAAGUAGUGGCUCGCCAACAUGAGAAGUUAAAAAAGGAUUUCCGGUACUUUGCAAAUCCCAUAAUUUGUUGGUACAAGCUGAUUAAUGCGCCCUUCAUGUCAUUAGAAGGAUGGUUAAAUUAUUCUUUAACUGUAAAGCUGGACAUGCACAUUCAAUAGCUGUCGGGCGAGCGAUCAGGCAGCUAUCUCUCACGACUCCUCCAUACAAAUACAUGUUUGUUUUGGCCAAGCAUGUAUUCAAUGUGAAGAGAGGAGAAAGCUGCUGACAGAUACCUCUGCUGGUGGCGUAUCUCCUUGGAGAGCAAAAGGAUCAGGCCAAAAUAUAAAUUUCACCCAAUCCUUUUUCCUCCACCGACAUCAUGGAUCGCGGGAGAGUUAGGAGGUCCAGAUUAGGUUCUGAGCAGAACCUGACGUUCUUGGUGGGUUCAGCUGACGAUACACUAAUGUGUAUGGAGGCCUUUAGAAUCUACAAACAGCAGCGUAGAUCUUAGGAUCCUUUUACACAAGUAGAUAAAGUAGGUUCAAUCGCUUGUCCUCUCCCUUUUCAUGCCCAUUGGAUUGUAAACGAUGGGCAGAUGCCCGUUUAUGCAAGUGGAUGUUCUGCCAUCAAACAAUGAUUUACACGUCCACAUAAAAGACGUAAUGAAUGACAAACAAGCAAAGUGCUGAUCGUCAUUUGAUCGUUGGACAUGAUUACACUGGUCAAUGAUUGUGAUUGAUAGUUUUAAUAAAAGAUCAAUCAGGCGAUUAUCACCCAAUGUAAAAGAGCCUUUAAUUUCCUGGGUACUAAAAGUUACGUGGAUUUAGGAUUUCAUGAAUUUCCUACUUUCUGAUAAAAUCUAUGUAAAGAUCAUCCUUAGGUCUAAUGCACACGGCUGUAUAAAUCUUAGGCUACUUUCACACUAGCGUUAAAUUUUCCCAGCAUUGAGGGUAGAAAAAGCCCA